GCUUGCCUUUACUCUUGCUGGCAAGUGCAUCCAUCCUGUGGUGGAGGCAUCCCUUCACGGGCAUCAGAAGCUUGUCCUUGGGGCCUUCCAACACAUACUGAAGACCAGCAGCUCUGCAGGAACGCUCCAGGCCUUCCAAGCCAGGUCAGGCUGCUGAGACAUCCAGCCUUACAGACUAGGAAACUAACUACAGGCUGCAAUUGUUGGACCACCAGGAGCAAAUCAUUGAACGGCAGGAGUGGAUAGAACCCGCAGCGGAGCCGGUGCGGCCUGAGAGAGAUUUGACGCUCUGACUCCACAGUCUGAGGCAUGGAAUGAAAGCCACAGACAGAAAAUGACAGCCCAGCCUCUAAAAGCAGCUCUUCCUUUGCUCUUCGUUGCCCUGUCCGGAGUCCUGGGGACACCAGUAAUCUCGUGCAUAAACGAAGAUGGUAAAGCCGUGGACUG
rnacentral:lncRNA from 1 species